rnacentral:lncRNA from 1 species
AACUGUCUGUCUGCCAUGGCCUCUUCCAAACGUGAUUCUCUGUGGCCUCCGCAAAAUGCUUCUGUGCCUGAUUCAGUACCAUCACAGGAGUACCGAGCAAAACUUUAUGACAGCACGACUCGUCUGCUUGGAAUGGUGACAACCAUUACAUUUGAGAAGAGUAUGACACAACAAACUUGUUUGCCGAGCUAUCCCUAUUUUGAGGGCAAUGACCAAGGAGGGCCAAUCCAUCCAUCUCCCUCAAUACAAGAUUGCUCUCAAGCAUCCCUUGCAGACCAGCAUUAUCAAUGCAUUUCAGAGUUGGUUCGUCUGCAAAAGGAAAGACAUAAGGUUGGAGAAUUUAUAUGCUACAUCAGGGAACUUCCUGGCAUUGAACUUCCCAAAGACUUCUUUCAUGCAUUUAUGAGCUAUGAAAGAGCUGUUCUUUGUUGCAAAAUACAGUUGCAAAUGGUAGAUUGGCUUUCCAAUUGCCAGAACCUUCACUUUUCAGACCUUGUUGAAGCAAGAAAGGCACUGUGCAGUAUGUGCCGUUGCACAAAGAACCUUCGCGAGAUGCUCUCCGAUGCGAUGCAAAAGAUCAUUUAUUUUCUGAGUUAUGCAGAUUGAAAUGAAUUUAAUGCAAUCUGAUCUCUUUCAUUCUGAGAGGAUGUCUGAUGUUAUCAUGUCAUGACAUAUUCAUUUCAUUCACUUGGAAAAUGUUUUGAUGCUUGCUUUACCUCUAGUUUUACCACUCUUGCAUGCCAAUUGUGGUGUAAUAUCUUACUCACUUUCUUACUCAUAUAUAGAUCUCACUGCUGGCUCAUUUUAAAGAUAAAAUCAAGGAACUCACCACUCAAAAAGAUCCAAUUUGGAACAAACGAAUAAACAUGGAUUUGAUUUUCCCUCCCCUUCUCCCCCACACUCCAACAUCCAUGAAAAGUGCAUGGAAAAUUCAUGCAAAUGUGUAUAAUGAGGCAGCCCUUUUAAAAUUAUGACAACAAAGCAUGCUUUUGAGUAAAUAAUUUUAUUAGGAUAAUUUUUAAGCACAUUCCAUUUUCCGCUACAUGACUGUUCUUAUAUUUGUGGGAGUUUUUUUCUGUUCAUUUAAUGCCGUAGUAUCAUGUAUUGUCUGUCACCACUUUCAUAAUUGAUGUGGUUUCAUUUGUUGCUCAAAGUUUUGACAUUUAAAAAUGUUUUAUCAAACGUGACUUGUGUGACUUUUUGAGACUCGUGUGAUGCUCAUUUGGUGUGAGGAGGUGUGUAAAAGGUAAGCACUCUUAUGUGGUGAGAUGCUUAGAGUCAUUCAUGUGCACACCAAAAUUAAUUUGCCAGGCACCUACCCAACACUUCGGAGUGCUCGCAUGCAUAGCGUCC